rnacentral:rRNA from 1 species
GACGAACGCUGGCGGCGUGCUUAACACAUGCAAGUCGAACGGAAAGGCCCUGCUUUUGUGGGGUGCUCGAGUGGCGAACGGGUGAGUAACACGUGAGUAACCUGCCCUUGACUUUGGGAUAACUUCAGGAAACUGGGGCUAAUACCGGAUAGGAGCUCCUGCUGCAUGGUGGGGGUUGGAAAGUUUCGGCGGUUGGGAUGGACUCGCGGCUUAUCAGCUUGUUGGUGGGGUAGUGGCUUACCAAGGCUUUGACGGGUAGCCGGCCUGAGAGGGUGACCGGCCACAUUGGGACUGAGAUACGGCCCAGACUCCUACGGGAGGCAGCAGUGGGGAAUAUUGCACAAUGGGCGGAAGCCUGAUGCAGCAACGCCGCGUGCGGGAUGACGGCCUUCGGGUUGUAAACCGCUUUCGCCUGUGACGAAGCGUGAGUGACGGUAAUGGGUAAAGAAGCACCGGCCAACUACGUG